GUGGCAGUAGCUCAGUGGUAGAGCCCCGCUUCGCAUGCGGGGAGACCUGGGUUCGAUUCCCGGCUGCUUCC
rnacentral:tRNA from 1 species